rnacentral:rRNA from 1 species
UUCCGGUUGAUCCCGCCGGACCUGACUGCUAUCGGAUUGAUACUAAGCCAUGCGAGUCAUUGUAGCAAUGCAAGGCAGACGGCUCAGUAACGCGUAGUCAACCUACCCUAUGGACGGGAAUAAUCUCGGGAAACUGAGGCUAAUUCCAGAUAGAACACUAUGCCUGGAACGGUUUGUGUUCCAAACGAUUUAUCGCCAUAGGAUGGGACUGCGGCCUAUCAGUUUGUUGGUGAGGUAAUGGCCCACCAAGACUAUUACAGGUACGGGCUCUGAGAGGAGUAGCCCGGAGAUGGGUACUGAGACACGGACCCAGGCCCUAUGGGGCGCAGCAGGCGAGAAAACUUUGCAAUGUGCGAAAGCACGACAAGGUUAAUCCGAGUGGUUCCUGCUAAAGGAACCUUUUGACGGUCCUAAAAACACCGUUGAAUAAGGGGUGGGCAAGUUCUGGUGUCAGCCGCCGCGGUAAAACCAGCACCUCAAGUGGUCAGGAUGAUUAUUGGGCCUAAAGCAUCCGUAGCCGGCUCUGUUAGUUUUCGGUUAAAUCUGUACGCUCAACGUACAGGCUGCCGGGAAUACUACAGAGCUAGGGAGUGGGAGAGGUAGACGGUACUUGGUAGGAAGGGGUAAAAUCCUUUGAUCUAUUGAUGACCACCUGUGGCGAAGGCGGUCUACUAGAACACGUCCGACGGUGAGGGAUGAAAGCUGGGGGAGCAAACCGGAUUAGAUACCCGGGUAGUCCCAGCUGUAAACCAUGCAAACUCAAUGAUGCACUGGCUUGAAGCCAAUGCAGUGUUGCAGGGAAGCCGUUAAGUUUGCCGCCUGGGAAGUACGUACGCAAGUAUGAAACCUAAAGGAAUUGGCGGGGGAGCACCACAAGGGGUGAAGCCUGCGGUUCAAUUGGAUUCAACGCCGGG